rnacentral:rRNA from 1 species
UAGGGAAUCUUCGGCAAUGGGGGGAACCCUGACCGAGCAACGCCGCGUGAGUGAAGAAGGUUUUCGGAUCGUAAAGCUCUGUUGUUAAGGAAGAACGAGUGUGAGAAUGGAAAGUUCAUGCUGUGACGGUACUUAACCAGAAAGGGACGGCUAACUACGUGCCAGCAGCCGCGGUAAUACGUAGGUCCCGAGCGUUGUCCGGAUUUAUUGGGCGUAAAGCGAGCGCAGGCGGUUAGAAAAGUCUGAUGUGAAAGCCCACGGCUCAACCGUGGAGGGUCAUUGGAAACUAAUAAACUUGAGUGCAGGAGAGAAAAGUGGAAUUCCUAGUGUAGCGGUGAAAUGCGUAGAGAUUAGGAGGAACACCGGUGGCGAAAGCGGCUUUUUGGCCUGCAACUGACACUGAGGCGCGAAAGCGUGGGGAGCAAACAGG